rnacentral:tRNA from 1 species
GAAUGCGUAGCUCAGCUGGUUAGAGCAUCUGCCUUUUAAGCAGAGGGUCGCAGGUUCGAAUCCUGCCGCAUUCA